GAGUUUGAUCAUGGCUCAGAUUGAACGCUGGCGGCAUGCUUUACACAUGCAAGUCGAACGGUAACAGGGAGCUUGCUCCGCUGACGAGUGGCGAACGGGUGAGUAAUGCGUCGGAACGUGCCGAGUAGUGGGGGAUAACGCAUCGAAAGGUGUGCUAAUACCGCAUACGAACUGAGGUUGAAAGUGGGGGACCUUCGGGCCUCACGCUAUUCGAGCGGCCGACGUCUGAUUAGCUAGUAGGUGAGGUAAAGGCUCACCUAGGCGACGAUCAGUAGCGGGUCUGAGAGGAUGAUCCGCCACACUGGGACUGAGACACGGCCCAGACUCCUACGGGAGGCAGCAGUGGGGAAUAUUGGACAAUGGGCGCAAGCCUGAUCCAGCAAUACCGCGUGUGUGAAGACGGCCUUCGGGUUGUAAAGCACUUUCAGGGGGGAAGAAAGGGUAAGUACUAAUACUACUUAUCAUUGACGUUACCCUCAGAAGAAGCACCGGCUAACUCUGUGCCAGCAGCCGC
rnacentral:rRNA from 1 species